GAUGAACGCUGACAGAAUGCUUAACACAUGCAAGUCAACUUGAACUUCGGUUUGGGUGGCGGACGGGUGAGUAACGCGUAAAGAACUUGCCUCACAGAUAGGGACAACAUUUGGAAACGAAUGCUAAUACCUGAUAUUAUGAUUAUAUGGCAUCGUAUAAUUAUGAAAGCUAUGUGCGCUGUGAGAGAGCUUUGCGUCCCAUUAGCUAGUUGGAGAGGUAACGGCUCACCAAGGCGAUGAUGGGUAGCCGGCCUGAGAGGGUGAUCGGCCACAAGGGGACUGAGACACGGCCCUUACUCCUACGGGAGGCAGCAGUGGGGAAUAUUGGACAAUGGACCAAGAGUCUGAUCCAGCAAUUCUGUGUGCACGAUGAAGUUUUUCGGAAUGUAAAGUGCUUUCAGUUGGGAAGAAAAAAAUGACGGUACCAACAGAAGAAGUGACGGCUAAAUACGUG
rnacentral:rRNA from 1 species